rnacentral:rRNA from 1 species
CACGUAGGGGGCAAGCGUUGUCCGGAUUUAUUGGGCGUAAAGAGCUCGUAGGCGGCUCAGUAAGUCGGGUGUGAAACCUCCAGGCUCAACCUGGAGACGCCACCUGAUACUGCUGUGGCUAGAGUCCGGUAGGGGAGCGUGGAAUUCCUGGUGUAGCGGUGAAAUGCGCAGAUAUCAGGAGGAACACCGAUGGCGAAGGCAGCUCUCUGGGACGGUACUGACGCUGAGACGCGAAAGCGUGGGGAGCGAACAGG